AGAGAUGUGUGAUGACGCAUAUCAAUAAGCGGAGGAAAAGAAACUAACUAGGAUUCCCUCAGUAACGGCGAGUGAAGCGGGAAGAGCUCAAAUUUGAAAUCUUCAAGGUUCUACCUUGACGAAUUGUAGUUUAUAGAAGUGUUUUCUGUUAGUAGAGUGGCAAAAGUUCUUUGGAAUAGGACAUCAUAGAGGGUGAGAAUCCCGUAUUUGGUCAUUAUUUCUAGCUGUGUGAUACACUUUCAAAGAGUCGGAUUGUUUGGGAAUGCAGUCCAAAAUGGGUGGUAAAUUUCAUCUAAAGCUAAAUAUUGGCGAGAGACCGAUAGCGAACAAGUACCGUGAGGGAAAGAUGAAAAGAACUUUGAAAAGAGAGUUAAACAGUACGUGAAAUUGUCAAAAGGGAAGCGUUUGACACCAGUGUUGUUUUUCCGAAAAUCAAUUACGAAUGUUUUAUUUUUGAGAAGUUAUGACUUCAUCGGCUUGCUUCUCUCUUUACGAAACUUUCUUAAUGCACUUUUCGGUUAACAAGUCAACAUCAAUUUCUUUUGUUGUAAAAGGGUAUGAGGAAGGUGGCUUUCUUUUCGGAGAAAGUGUUUAUAGCCUUUUACCCCUGCAAUCGGAGAGAUUGAGGUCUGCAGCGUAGAUCCUUCGGGGUUAGAUACAUUUGUGCUAAGCUAUAGCCUUGUAUAGACAACUUGUUGACUAUGCUCAGUCAUGUAGCUUACUCGCUUAUGCUAUUUUACCUACGCUUAGGAUGUUGAAGAUGUAGCACAUCAU
rnacentral:rRNA from 1 species